CUCUCCCCUGUCAGAAAAAAGCAUUUCUCAUCUGGCCUCUGCCCUGACCUCACACUCCUCCCGCCUCACACAGCUGACGCUGGAGGCCACAGACAGAUCAUCAUCAUCACUGACUGUGUCCUCUUCAGCUGGGUGUCAUCCAGACUGCAAACCCCGGGAGUUGAGGCUGGAGUGGUGUAAUCUGACAGAGGAGAUCUGCAAUCUGGUGUCUGCUCUGACCUCACACACAUCUACACUCUCUGGGGAACGCCUGAAGACAGAGGAGGUGGAACGAUUAUGUUCUACUCUUAGUCAUCAAGACUGCAGACUGGAGACACUACAGCUGGUGUCCUGUCCCCUGUCAGAAGAAAGCGUUUCUCAUCUGGCCUCUGCCCUGACCUCACACUCCUCACGUCUCAUACAG